rnacentral:rRNA from 1 species
CCUACGGGUGGCAGCAGUGGAGGAUAUUUGACAAUGGGGGGAACCCUGAUCCAGCGACGCCGCGUGAGUGAAUGAAUAUCUCGGUAUGUAAAGCUCUAUCAGCAGGGAAGAAGAAAUGACGGUACCUGAGUCAGAAGCACCAGCUAACUACGUGCCAGCAGCCGCGGUAAUACGUAGGGGGCAAGCGUUAUCCGGAAGUACUGGGUGUAAAGGGAGCGUGGGCGGUGAUGUAAGUCUGGAGUGAAAGGCGGGGGCCCAACCCCCGGACUGCACUGGAAACUAUGUGACUGGAGUGCAGGAGAGGGGAGCGGAAUUCCUGGUGUAGCAGUGAAAUGCGUAGAUAUUAGGAGGAACACCAGUGGCGAAGGCAGCUCACUGGACUGUAACUGACGUUGAGGCUCGAAAGCGUGGGGAGCAAACAGGAUUAGAUACCCGAGUAGUC